UUCAAAGCUACUAGCUGAGAUGGUCCAGCCUCACAGACUACCCAGUCAUGACUUCAGAUAAGCUCUACAUUUUCCCAUCAUACAGAGACUAAAUAAAACAUAGCUACCUCUCCCAGGUCUUGACCUUGUCCCUACUUUCUCAAGGUCCACUAGAGAAGCCAUGACUCCCAGAUAAUAGGAAGCAGUCUAGAAAACAUGAUACCCACAUUCCCAAGAGGUAGAGUGGGUGGUUUUUGGUCAUGCAGCAUAUUGUGCAUGUUUAUCUUCAUUUAGGGCGGUUGGUUACAAGUUGUUGUCGGUCAUGGUCAGGAAGAAAGCUGAGCAAAGGAGAUUAGAUUCAGGCAUUUUGUUCUGAAAAGAAAAGGGGACUAUGGAAAUGAUAGGACAAAAGGGUAGAUUAUUGAAUCUACUUUUAAGCCAAAAAAAAUCUACUAGUCUUAAAUAUUUUACAUUGGUAUGGGUUUUUUUUAUAUAAUACAAACAGUUAUUUUUGUCAUACUGUAUAUAUGUUUCUGGUCUUGUUUAAGUGAUUGCCUUCGAGGAGACUCUGUGUUCCUGUGUCUAAGCUGUGAUAUGCUUGUUCAAGAAGAGUUGCACCUGAUAGAGUUCACAGACUACAGUUUACAGAAGCUGAGAGCAAGCAUGAAGAAAGGAAUGGUUUUCCCAGUCUGCCGACUGUGAUGAAUCUGAGAUACAGAAAAGGCUCCUGGGAUUUUAGAGACUAAAAAUUAAAAAACAGUAUAUAGGCAUAAGUGGAAAACUGCUCUCACAGGUGCAAAAGGGAACAUUCAACAACUCUUGAGAUUUUUAAAUUAAUGGAGAAAAUGACUGAUUAGCAUGUGACUGAUUAUGAAAGCAUUUUUGGUUCAAUGGAAAGCAUUCCGGACUUGGGUCAGAAGCCAUGCUCACUUCCCUUCUCUCUGACACAAAAACAGCAUGAGCCUGGGAUGGCCAUGUGAUCUACCUGUGCUGACAUGCUAUUUUGUACAGACCCAUAUUCACCCCUUGUUUUAUCACUGUUAGCCAUUUCCAUAUUUUGUUUCAUUCUCCAGCUCUAGAUAUUUCAAGAAAGCCAUCUUAAUCUUUUCAUCAUCACAUUUUUAUUUUUUGAGAAGAGAUUGGUACAAAACAAGCACAGAGCUGCGAAAAGCAGUGUGAUGGAAGUAUUUGGGGGAAAUGUAACAGUCAUAGGCUGUUUUUGUUAAAAAUAAACAUAAAAUCAGAAAACGGAGUUUUAAUAAAGGAAAUAAUGAAUAAAAAUCUCA